rnacentral:rRNA from 1 species
GCUCAGGACGAACGCUGGCGGCGUGCCUAAUACAUGCAAGUCGAGCGCACAGAAGGGAGCUUGCUCCCGGACGUGAGCGGCGGAUGGGUGAGUAACACGUGGGCAACCUACCUGUAAGACGGGGAUAACUUCGGGAAACCGGAGCUAAUACCGGAUAACCCCUCGCACCGCAUGGUGCGAGGCUGAAAGAUGGUUUCGGCCAUCACUUACAGAUGGGCCCGCGGUGCAUUAGUUAGUUGGCGGGGUAACGGCCCACCAAGACAGCGAUGCAUAGCCGACCUGAGAGGGUGAUCGGCCACAUUGGGACUGAGACACGGCCCAAACUCCUACGGGAGGCAGCAGUAGGGAAUCUUCCACAAUGGACGAAAGUCUGAUGGAGCAACGCCGCGUGAGCGAAGAAGGUUUUCGGAUCGUAAAGCUCUGUUGCCGGAGAAGAACGAGUGCCAGAGGAAAUGCUGGUGCUGUGACGGUAUCCGGCCAGAACGCCACGGCUAACUACGUGCCAGCAGCCGCGGUAAUACGUAGGUGGCAAGCGUUGUCCGGAAUUAUUGGGCGUAAAGCGCGCGCAGGCGGCUUCUUAAGUCUGAUGUGAAAUCUUGCGGCUCAACCGCAAAAGGUCAUUGGAAACUGAGAAGCUUGAGUACAGAAGAGGAGAGUAGAAUUCCACGUGUAGCGGUGAAAUGCGUAGAGAUGUGGAGGAAUACCAGUGGCGAAGGCGGCUCUCUGGUCUGUUACUGACGCUGAGGUGCGAAAGCAUGGG